AAACUAGGAUUAGAUACCCUAUUAUAAUUAUUUAGAUUUGGUAGUAAUUGACAUUCAUCAAACCAAAAUCUAUUGGCGGUUUUUUAAAAUUUUUAGAGGAGUUUAUUCUUUAAAGGAUGAAACACCUAUAUCUUACUUAUUUUUGUAAAUUCAAUUUGUAUACCUCUAUUUAGUAAUUUUUAGAUAAAUUUUUAUUAAUUUAAAUUAAUAUUAUUUAGGUCAAGGUGCAGUUUAUAAAUAAGAAUGAAAUAAGCUAUAUUAAUUAUAAUUUAACGAAAUUUUAAAUGUAAAAUAAGGUUUAGAAGGAUUUAAAAGUAAUUUUGCUAAAAUUUUUGUAAUAUGAAUUGAGUAUUUAAAAAAUGUACAAAUUGCCCGUCACUCUCAUUUAUGAGAUAAGUCGUAACAUAGUAAGGAUGUGCA
rnacentral:rRNA from 1 species